rnacentral:misc_RNA from 1 species
GGAAGUCGUAACAAGGUUUCCGUAGGUGAACCUGCGGAAGGAUCAUUAAAGUUAUAGUCCCCUGGCCCUCUGGGCUGGGGUCUUCUAUACCACCCUUUGUUUAUUACACCUUUGUUGCUUUGGCAGGCCUGCCCUCGGGCUGCUGGCUCCGGCCGGCUCGCGUCUGCCAGAGGACCUAAACUCUGUUUGUAUAUGAAGUCUGAGUACUAUAUAAUAGUUAAAACUUUCAUCAACGGAUCUCUUGGUUCUG